UUGAACGCUGGCGGCCGGCCUAACACAUGCCAGUCGCACGGUAACAGGAAGCAGCUUGCUGCUUCGCUGACGAGUGGCGGACGGGUGAGUAAUGUCUGGGAAACUGCCUGAUGGAGGGGGAUAACUACUGGAAACGGUAGCUAAUACCGCAUAACGUCGCAAGACCAAAGAGGGGGACCUUAGGGCCUCUUGCCAUCGGAUGUGCCCAGAUGGGAUUAGCUAGUAGGUGGGGUAACGGCUCACCUAGGCGACGAUCCCUAGCUGGUCUGAGAGGAUGACCAGCCACACUGGAACUGAGACACGGUCCAGACUCCUACGGGAGGCAGCAGUGGGGAAUAUUGCACAAUGGGCGCAAGCCUGAUGCAGCCAUGCCGCGUGUAUGAAGAAGGCCUUCGGGUUGUAAAGUACUUUCAGCGGGGAGGAAGGGAGUAAAGUUAAUACCUUUGCUCAUUGACGUUACCCGCAGAAGAAGCACCGGCUAACUCCGUG
rnacentral:rRNA from 1 species